rnacentral:rRNA from 1 species
UACGAAGGGGGCUAGCGUUGCUCGGAAUCACUGGGCGUAAAGGGUGCGUAGGCGGGUCUUUAAGUCAGGGGGGAAAUCCUGGAGCUCAACUCCAGAACUGCCUUUGAUACUGAAGAUCUUGAGUUCGGGAGAGGUGAGUGGAACUGCGAGUGUAGAGGUGAAAUUCGUAGAUAUUCGCAGGAACACCAGUGGCGAAGGCGGCUCGCUGGCACGGUACUGACGCUGAGGUGCGAAAGCGUGGGGAGCAAACAGG